rnacentral:rRNA from 1 species
UACGUAGGUGGCAAGCGUUGUCCGGAGUUAUUGGGCGUAAAGCGCUCGCAGGUGGUCCGUCGCGUCGUGCGUGAAAGACCCCGGCUCAACUGGGGAGGGUCGUGCGAUACGGGCGGACUGGAGGCCAGUAGGGGGAUGCGGAAUUCCGGGUGUAGUGGUGGAAUGCGUAGAGAUCCGGAGGAACACCAGCGGCGAAGGCGGCAUCCUGGACUGGUCCUGACACUCAGGAGCGAAAGCGUGGGGAGCGAUCCGG